GAGCUGGGGCCGCUCUGCGGCUGCCGCGCGGCGCGGGCGCCUCCGAGCCGUGUGUGAGUGAGGUCAGUUAAGGAAACAUCGCAGCGGCCCAUUCGAAGAGGAUUUGCAUGUAAGCAUGUUGAAUUUACAAACAGCAAUCAGAAUAAAAGUUACCCCGACAGAAAGCAGAAUAGGCCCUAGUAACUGAGUCCAUUCCAGUAGGGUUGUGUGCUGCUGCUUCUGUAGCUGAACUCAUGCUACUGCCUCCUGCACCUCUACAAUCCUGCUAAUCUGUCUGAGGAACCUGCAGCCCAGGGCUCCCUUCCUUGCCAGGCCAGAACCUCUUCCAUCUGCCAGAGCUUCUGCAUGCUUGUGCCUCAUUCUCCCUCACCAUUAAAAUUUUCAAAUAAA